rnacentral:lncRNA from 1 species
AUUCUUUUGUCCUGCUUCAGAAUCAUAUCAGCCUUUGUCCAAGUUAUUUUAGGUUCAGGUUUUCCGGUUACGGUGGCAGGAAGUUCAAUCUUGGUCCCAGCUUUUACAGUGAGACCAGCAAGGAGCUUCACAUCGAGGAAGAUUUCUGGGGCCUCUGAAUUGGAAAAGAUUAUUUAUGAUGUUAUCAAGUUCAAGCAGAUUUAAGGUCAGAGGCCUAUUUGAUAAGACAAAAAUCAAAAAUAGAUACCUUGUGUGUCCACAGCCUGGAUUUCCUCUGUGGGUCUGCUUGGUUUGCUAGCACCCUGCCUGUUUAAGGCCUUCACGCGGUAGGCAUACCAUUUGCCUUCCUCAAGACCUGUCACUUCCAUUCUGUCAGAAAACAGAAUAGGAUGUUUUACUGUGAUGUCGAUAAUCGUUUCAUUGUGUAGUACUCAUAAUCUUUCAAAAAUUCAAACCCCUGGUAUAAUACUAGUCUUUAAAUUAAACCUGGAUUACUUCAACACUAUAACUGAAUACAUUUUCAUUUCAAUACUGUCAUGAAAACCCUGAGCAGGCAGUACAUUCAGCAGCACCUUUAAAAAUCAGACAGAUACACCGGCAGCAUAGGAUUCUCAAUGAAAAAAGACAAACAUUUAAAUUUUCCCCAACAAAGCCCAUUUUAGUGACUAGGAGUACACAUUUACUCUCAUGCCAAAUUAAAAACCUACUUUGUUUCUGCAACAGGUUCUCCACAGGCAACCCAUUUAUCAGAACCACGUGGACAUCUUUCAACUAUCCUGGACAACAACCAUGUUAUUUCUUAGCCAUUGGACUUCCACCUUAUCUUUAUUGAGUUCUGCUAAAAAGACAACAUCAGCACCAGGGGCUUCAAGAAUAUCUUGUGGAGGCCUGAUGAUCUCAACAGGAAUUUCUGGAAAGAAAAUGUGAAAUAAAUACAAAUAUGUUUACAUUUUGAUUAACAAUUUUAAAAAAUUGGUAACAUUAGAAUUGUUUUUUCACUUAAUAUGUACCUUCCACAAAAAGUCUAGCACGAGACUUCCUGUCUUCUACCCCGCAAGCAUAUUCACACUCAUCAUCCAGCCUGCAAUCUUUUAUAAUGAGUCUGUGUAUACUUCCAUCUUUUUCAAAUUUGUAUCUAAAGGAGACAUUGGAUUAUCAGUUAGCUUGCAAUGAUGGCCACUAAAUUGUCAAAAGUGUAUAUAUAGCUACAGAAAUAGAGAAUAAAAAGAUCUUGCUUACUUUUUGCCUUCUUUGAUUUCUCUCCCAUUUCUGUACCAUUUUACAUUGGCUUUCUCUCUG